rnacentral:rRNA from 1 species
UACUUAGGGUGCGAGCGUUGUCCGGAAUUAUUGGGCGUAAAGGGCUCGUAGGCGGUCUGUCGCGUCGGGAGUGAAAACUCAGGGCUUAACCCUGAGCCUGCUUCCGAUACGGGCAGACUAGAGGUAUGCAGGGGAGAACGGAAUUCCUGGUGUAGCGGUGGAAUGCGCAGAUAUCAGGAGGAACACCGGUGGCGAAGGCGGUUCUCUGGGCAUUACCUGACGCUGAGGAGCGAAAGUGUGGGGAGCGAACAGG